UUCCGGUUGAUCCUGCCGGAGGCGACCGCUUUGGGAGUUCGAUUAAGCCAUGCGAGUCGUGAGUCUUAGGGACUCGGCAUACUGCUCAGUAACACGUGGAUAACCUGCCCUAUCGUCUGGAAUAACCUCGGGAAACUGAGAAUAAGGCCGGAUAGUUCACAAUGCCUGGAACGGUUUGUGAAUCAAGGUAGGAUGGGUCUGCGGCGUAUCAGGUUGUAGGGGGUGUAAAGGACCCCCUAGCCUUCGACGCGUACGGGUGUUGGGAGACAUAGCCCGGAGAUGGAUUCUGAGACACGAAUCCAGACCCUACGGGGUGCAGCAGGCGCGAAAACUUCACACUGCAGGAAACUGUGAUGAGGGAACUCCUAGUGCAUGCACUAUGUGUACGUAGAUCCUACUCUUAACAAGUAGAGGGAAAGGGCUGGGAAAGACCGGUGCCAGCCGCCGCGGUAAUACCGGCAGCUCAAGUGGUCGUCGCUUUUAUUGGGCCUAAAACGUCCGUAGCCUGUUUGGUAAAUCUGUGGGUAAAUCAAUCCGCUCGACGGAUUGAAUUCUGCAGAGACUGCCAGACUAGGGACCGGGAGAGGUGUGGGGUACUCGAGGGGUAGGGGUAAAAUCCUGUCAUCCUUCGAGGACCACCAGUUGCGAAGGCGCCACACUGGAACGGAUCCGACGGUCAGGGACGAAGCCUAGGGGCACGAACCGGAUUAGAUACCCGGGUAGUCCUAGGUGUAAACGCUGUGAACUUGGUGUCGGGGGUCCGCAAGGGGUCCCCGGUGCCGGAGUGAAGAUGUUAAGUUCACUGCCUGGGGAGUACGGUCGCAAGGCUGAAACUUAAAGGAAUUGGCGGGGCAGCAC
rnacentral:rRNA from 1 species